AUUGAACGCUGGCGGCAUGCCUUACACAUGCAAGUCGAACGGUAACAGGUCUUCGGAUGCUGACGAGUGGCGAACGGGUGAGUAAUACAUCGGAACGUGCCUAGUAGUGGGGGAUAACUACUCGAAAGAGUGGCUAAUACCGCAUGAGAUCUACGGAUGAAAGCAGGGGAUCGCAAGACCUUGUGCUACUAGAGCGGCCGAUGGCAGAUUAGGUAGUUGGUGGGAUAAAAGCUUACCAAGCCGACGAUCUGUAGCUGGUCUGAGAGGACGAUCAGCCAAACUGGGACUGGGACACGGCCCAGACUCCUACGGGAGGCAGCAGUGGGGAAUUUUGGACAAUGGGCGCAAGCCUGAUCCGGCAAUGCCGCGUGCAGGAUGAAGGCCUUCGGGUUGUAAACUGCUUUUGUACGGAACGAAAAGCCCUGGGUUAAUACCCUGGGGUCAUGACGGUACCGUAAGAAUAAGCACCGGCUAACUACGUGCCAGCAGCCGCCGUAACAC
rnacentral:rRNA from 1 species